rnacentral:rRNA from 1 species
AUACGUCGUUGCGGUUAAAGCUCGUAGUUGGAUUUCUGCAUGGAAGGAGCGGUCCACCCUUUGGGUGAGUUACUGCUACCUUUUGUGCAUCUUCCUGAGAAGGCGUUCUUCACUUAAUUGUGAGGCCGCAUGACUCAGGACGUUUACUUUGAGGAAAUGAGAGUGUUUCAAGCAGGCAAAUGCCUUGAGUACGUUAGCAUGGAAUAAUAGCAUCGGACCAUCGUCAUGCUGUUGGUGUCAUGGCGAAGGUAAAGGUGAAUAGGGAUUGUUGGGGGCAUUCGUAUUUAACUGUCAGAGGUGAAAUUCUUGGAUUUGUUGAAGACGGACUACUGCGAAAGCAUCUGCCAAAGAUGUUCUCAUUGAUCAAGAACGAAAGUUAGGUGAUCGAAGACGAUCAGAUACCGUCCUAGUCUUAACCAUAAACUAUGCCGACUGGAGAUAGGAAGCGUUUAUAUUACGACUCUUUCUGCAUCUUGAGAGAAAUCAAAGUCUUUGGGUUCCGGGGGGAGUAUGGUCGCAAGGCUGAAACUUAAAGGAAUUGACGGAAGGGCACCACCAGGAGUGGAGCCUGCGGCUUAAUUUGACUCAACACGGGGAAACUUACCAGGUCCGGACAUAGGUAGGAUUGACAGACUGAGAGCUCUUUCUUGAUUCUAUGGGUGGUGGUGCAUGGCCGUUCUUAGUUGGUGGAGUGAUUUGUCUGGUUAAUUCCGUUAACGAGCGAGACCUUAACCUGCUAAAUAGGUACGGUAACCUCUUGGUUGCCGGUCACCUUCUUAGAGGGACGUCGCGUGUCUAACGCGAGGAAGUGUGAGGCAAUAACAGGUCUGUGAUGCCCUUAGAUGUUCUGGGCUGCACGCGCGCUACACUGAUGCGUUCAACGAGUAUACCUUGACCGAGAGGUCUGGGUAAUCUUGUGAAAGCGCAUCGUGAUGGGGAUAGAUUAUUGCAAUUGUUAGUCUUCAACGAGGAAUUCCUAGUAAGCGCGAGUCAUCAACUCGUGCUGAUUACGUCCCUGCCCUUUUGUACACACCGCCCGUCGCUCCUACCGAUUGAGUGAUCCGAUGAUUACUUCGGACUGACGAGAGUCCCCGGAUUUUUCAG